UGCCCCUACGGGGGGCAGCAGUGGGGAAUAUUGCACAAUGGGGGGAACCCUGAUGCAGCGACGCCGCGUGGGUGAAGGAGUACUUCGGUACGUAAAGCCCUAUCAGCAGGAAAGAAAAUGACGGUACCUGACUAAGAAGCCCCGGCUAACUACGUGCCAGCAGCCGCGGUAAUACGUAGGGGGCAAGCGUUAUCCGGAUUUACUGGGUGUAAAGGGAGCGUAGACGGCAGCGCAAGUCUGGAGUGAAAUGCCGGGGCCCAACCCCGGAACUGCUCUGGAAACUGUGAAGCUGGAGUGCAGGAGAG
rnacentral:rRNA from 1 species